GUUUAGCAACAAAUAAAUAUCUGUUGGUGAUCCAUUGCAAUAUACAGACAGGUUACCGACUGAAAUCAACAAAAAUCCAUUCCGUGGAUAUUCCGUUGGUGAAAUCACGAUUUUUUAGACAAUAUUAGGGGUACUUUGGUAAAUAUACAUUUGAUAAGGGUGCUCGCCAGACUUUCACAAAAGUAAACUUGCGAUUUCCUUUCGAACGACGGGCAAAAUCUAUUGAUAAGCAUCACUGCCACUCCGGCUAUCUUGCCGACGCCACAACACUCGAAGCUUUCGGACUGAAAGGUGCCGGUGCUGCAACUUCUCAACCUCAUCCUUGCAGCCGAUUUGAGCUUUUUUUUUCUCCAUUUUUGGAGUAAAAGGGAAAACUCAAGUUUUUAUGUGUAUCAAAUGACAAUAUUGAUAAAUUUAUGAUUUGGUUAAUUGGUCUGAAGAAUAUAUUUUCAAGGCAACUACCUAACAUGUCUAAGGAAUACAUUGUUAGUCUUGUGAUGGAUAAAGGCCACAAAUCUAUAAUGGUUAUCAGGCAAAAUACAAUUGGUGCCAUUACCUUGCUACUACGUGUUAAAAAAGUACAUUGCCUAUGUUGGUAAAAAACUAAAGUAUUUUGCUACUUCAAGCUAGUGUGAGUAUAAUGCUCAAUAAAACUCCCUUAAUUUUAAUAUUUUAUACUCAUUAGCAGAUUUUUACUAAUUUCAAAUGUUCAAUUUUAUAAUUUUGUUAUUUUUGCAGGAACUCGUUGCUAAUCCUAAAUGCUUAUUGCCUGUAAUGAUAUGAUAUGUAUUGUAACCUUUUAGUUUUCGUUGGAAUCAUUCAAAUGAAUAUUUGUGGGUUUUUUGUUACCAUCAUAUAUAAAAUUGAUCAAGUUAUGUGGACCAGGUACCACCUGAUGCACAGUUGAACUGUUGUUUACCCUAGCUCGAGGCUUCUCUAUUUGUAUCUAUAAACUUCUUCCUUCUUAUAAGAUGAUUUUUUUUCUUGUUGAAAGAACAACAAAAGAGAUAACUUAUUUUUACCCUUUUUUACUUAAAUUUUUUGUUCUUCAGUUAAUGACAGAGGACUUGCUGCAAGAUCUUGUGCUGUAUAAGAAAUUACAAGAGAAGCCAGUUUCAUCUACACCUCGUUCACUUAUUUCAUUGUUUAGAGAGAUUGCAUGCCGACUCAUGGGAAUACAUGGACACAUGGCUCGAUGCAAGUUAAAAUUCAAGCAAUAUUCACACGUGGUAAAACCGGUGUUCUAGCCGAGAUAAUAACAUGAUAGAAUUCUGUUCCUAUUUCACUUGAUAUUCUUUAAUUUUUUCGCCUUUUUCUUUUUAUAAAAAUUCAAUCAUUAUAACCUGUUGGAGAAAAGGAAAGGGAAAACGAGGAAAUUUGCCGACUUUGAUGGAUAACUUGAUGGGGAAAAUUAAACUCUUAGGGCUCUUAAGAGACUAUCAGGAGCUAAAUUGGAGAGUGAGGCAAGUAGGCAACAACAUAUAUUCUCUCAUGUGGUGAUUUUCAAAGAAUCAAAGAGCUAAAAGAAGCAUGUUUAAAAAGUGUUAUGAUCCAAAAUCAACAACAAUCUUUAAGGUCCCAACUUUUGAUCAAUUCAUAACCAAAAGCAGUUGUAACUUCGGCUUUAUACUCCAACAGGAAGGCUUUGAUCAAAGCAGGGAGAGAAGAUUGGAAAAGGCUUUGAUUAUUCUGACCCUCACUUUCUGGUCAAGGCCUGUGAAUCUACCAGAUCAGCAGAUCCUAGAUAAUGCGUAUGAAGUAUUUCAGGGAGGUAAUGUUCCCAUCUGCAUAAGCUACUCAGUGUGUAAUCAAGUUCACAGGUUUUGUAACUUUAUUUAUCACUAUUUUUUUACAGUCUACACUGAUACUUUUAUGGAGCAGAAUUAAUUUAUUUUAGUUUAGUACUUUUUGGAGCAAAUUUGAUGCGAUUGUUUCAAUUUUUUUCGGUUCUUUAUGUUGGAGAUCAUUGAUUUGUUUAUUAUAGCAUCCUACUUUUCAAACCUUAGUUUUCUUAAUGAAUUAGAAAUUGAGCAUACACUACAAUAAUUGGGUGGAGUUUUUAACAAUGAUGUAAUAGAAUGAAAUGUAAGUAAGAUGCAAUAAUAUACAAACAAUGAAAGUACGUUGCUAUUUCUUGUACUUCUCCCAGUUUUUCUUUCAUGGUCUUGUAAUAUUCAAAGAUAAUUUUAUUAAGUCUAAUUUUAUAAUCAUAUCAAUAUCAUAUUCUGUUUUGUGCACCAUCUUAUAUUGCUGACGAAUGAAUGAGAUCAAAUUGAAGAUCAAAUCCAUCAUUCAAAAUGCUCCAUCCAGGUGUGAGUGUAUAGAAGUUCAUGAAAUGAAAAAGAUGUCAAAGCUUAGCAGUGGGUGGCGGGAGAAAGAAGAUGGCUACAUUGUGCUGGUGACGUUUUAUGGGUUUUGUUAUUAUGUAUAAAUUUGUAGAUUAUAUUUUUGGGUUUUGUUAUUAUGUAUAAAUUUUUAAAUUAUAAUUUUACCAGUCGAUAUGUAUUUGAUAUUUAUGGUUAUAAUGUAUUCAAACUUUUUACUUUUA